rnacentral:tRNA from 1 species
GGCUAGGUAGCUCAUUUGGUUAGAGCUUUGUGCUGAUACAUCAAAUUUGUGAGUUCAAUCCUCAGUCAGGGCA